GUACACGCUGUGACUAGCAUAUCAAUAAGCGGAGGAAAAGAAACUAACAAGGAUUCCCCUAGUAACGGCGAGUGAAGCGGGAAGAGCUCAAAUUUGAAAUCUUAAAGGGUUUCCCUUUACGAAUUGUAGUUUAAAGAAGUGUUUUCUGUUGAGGUUUUGGUAAAAGUUCUUUGGAAUAGGACAUCAUAGAGGGUGAGAAUCCCGUAUUUGACCUUUACUUUCAACUUUGUGAUACACUUUCAAAGAGUCGGAUUGUUUGGGAAUGCAGUCCAAAAUGGGUGGUAAAUUUCAUCUAAAGCUAAAUAUUGGCGAGAGACCGAUAGCGGACAAGUACCGUGAGGGAAAGAUGAAAAGAACUUUGAAAAGAGAGUUAAACAGUACGUGAAAUUGUCAAAAGGGAAGCGUUUGACACCAGUGUUGUUUUUCUGAAAAUCAAUUAAAGAACUGUUUAUGCUAAGCUGUUUAGACUUUAUCAGCUAUCUGUUUAGUUUUGAGCUUUUCUUUAAUGCACUUUUCAGUUAACAAGUCAACAUCAAUUUCUUUUGCUGUAAAAAGCUUGAGGAAGGUGGCUUGAGAUUCGUCUUAAGUGUUUAUAGCCUCUUGCCUAUGCAGUCGGAGAGAUUGAGGUCUGCAGCGUAGAUCCUUCGGGGCUAAAUGCAUUUGUGCUAAGUUAUAGCAUUUUAUAGACAACUUGUUGACUAUGAUUUGUCUUGUAGCUUACUCGCUUAUGUUAUUUUACCUACGCUUAGGAUGUUGAAGAUGUAGCACAUCAU
rnacentral:rRNA from 1 species